ACACGGACACUAAUAUUUCACUAGUGUGUCAUUGACGCUGCAGCAAGACUACAUUACCGUUUUGAAGUUAAAUAAAACAUAGAGAUAAAUCUCUGAGUUUAACAUGUUUUAUUUGGGAAGCAACAACUGCAGUUCGGGGGAUAGACACAGAACGGUGGCCUCUCGUAUGUCCAAAGAACAGAGAAGUUUGGAGGUUUUAUGAAGAGGAGAAAUGCUGUGUAUUGUUUUGAAAUAAAGUUCCUUGGCACUAGUAAGGUUUUGGGGAUGCUGGCGAACACUGAUUUGUGGGUGAUGGUGUUAGAUUUCAGCAGGUUGUUCCAGUGGCUGUUAGAUAAAACUGGUUUCAGGUUACACCUGGCAGUUCCAGCAGCCAGGUCUGCAGAGAAUCGUAUGCUUGAAGGAACGUCUUGUGCCUCAAGCGCUUUACCCGCAACCUCUGGACUCUGUUUUAGUUGAGUGUGACAAGAAAGACCCAAGGCGUAUGAAGCUUUGACCCUGUUUUGUAAACUCCCUUUGAUGCGGUCAGAGUUCAUUUGGGGAAACUUCUGGGAAUAGUCAACACGGCCGGUUGGAAACGGAGGUGGAAUUCAGUGGUUACAGCAGAAGCCUGCACUCUAUCGUCCAGUGAGAGCAGCCCAGGGAUGGGCACUCAUGAAGGAGAGUGAUGCUGCCCACAGGAAGCAGGCCAGUGCUGAGCAGAGAGAACCACAAGAAAAGCAGACAGGUCUGCCCGCGUUUGAGCUGGUAUCACUUGCCCAGCAGGCAGGCAUGGGGUGACACAUGACUGGGCGAGCCACUCGCUGGGUGGGGCAUUCACACAGGUCAGCUCAAACCAGAUGGAGCCUGGGACUGUGACCAAGGAGCGAGUGAAGGUCAAAGCCACACAUGGGGCUGAGGGGCCAGGUGGCCGCCUUAUGAGAUCGAAGGCGGGAAGCUUUGGAACAGGGCAAAAAGGGGAGCCCAGGGUGAGGGGAGAGGGCCGAGCAGCUCGGAUCUCUGAUGGUGAGCUGUGCAGAGAUGGGGAAGCGCCUCUUUUCCUCUUUCAUGUGGGUGUCAGGGGGGGUCCAGGCCUGAGGGAGCCAAGCUGGAGGGUGCAGGGUUUCGCGUCUGCCUCGGAACUGGAUGUUUGAAAGCAAAGGUGAACGGCCCAGCAGGCCCGCUGGGGCACUGGGAGAACUGGUUUUUGCCAUUUUAGGAAUUGUUUGGCUUUGGCUUUUUUUCUCACUAAGAAAUUGGAAUCUGAAAGAGCCUUUCAGCUUAUUGUUGAAAAUCCAUCAGGACCUGAAAAUUAGAGACCGGGCCUGAGCUUUCAGCACAUUUAAACUCACGGGAGCGAGGUGGAAAAGCCACAGGAAGUGGAUGCACUAAUUUAGAAAAUAGGGAGAGGGAAGACAGCGCCUGUCCCCUCCCUGAUUGACCACAGGUAACCCCUGGUCUCUCUGUCUACUGAGGCUGAGUGGCCUGUUCUGGGUCUGACUACCCUACCCUGGGGCCUGACUCUGCCCCGCCCCUCGCAACACUCAACAAACGCUUGUGGAAGGAGUGAACAAAUGACAAGUCACGAAACCUAAAUACAGUGUACUAUUUUAUGGUGUCUUAAACCAUCACGCAAUUCCACGGGUAUGCAGCACAAAGAAUUGAGAAGUAAUUCCGAUAAGAGCAGGGGAAUAGUAAUUGAAACUGACACCCAUGUGACACUUUACAGUUUACAAAGUGCAUGGGUCGCAAUUCCAGAGUCUUCAGCUUUGGAGGAGACUGAGGUGCGGGACAUGGAAAAGAAGGUCAUUCUCUUGGAGCCCCAACAAUGACCAGGAGAAAUUCAUUUGGCGGUAAAACCACACGAACCCUAUUACAUCACCAAGCCCUCACCGUUUCCAGCACCCAGGGUCUCUACAAAGAGGCAAGCUGGGACUGAAAUCUCUCCCGAGUGUGGAAGACGGACGGGAGCAGCAGCCGGACAGCACAGCUCAAGGCCGAGAGGCUCACUGGGUGACUCGGGCCGCUUUGGGGUGGCUGUGAGAAGCGAAGGGAGGCUGACUCGGGGUGUGGUGGGGAGUGAAGCCACCACCUUAUUGCCUAGGCCUUCCCUUGAUGCACUUGGAAAAUAAGUUGCUCUUUCUUCACCGGGUGGGGACAUUAAUUAAUGUUUGCAAAAGUCUUUAUGAUCCUUGUCAAAAGGUGUUCGGCCGGCUCUAAUUAUCCAGGUUUCAGCUGCCACCGCUUCCAUCUCAGCACAGCAUCUCUGCCCUGGAAGAUGUCAAACAAGAUUGCUGUUGUCAGGAUGUGCAUCCAGCUCAUGUGGAUUUCUAUCUGCAUCUCCAAAUACUGCCCAGAUUCCAAAGCCCUGCAAGGGGAUGGUAUCUUGUUUGGGGAGAUGAGACCUGUGCCCCGCCCAGCUCCACCCCGUAAGAAGGCAGCUGCCUGGGAGAUUAGAUGAGAUAAUGGAUGUGAACGCCAAGUGUUGCAGAGACGUAAGCGGCAUUAUCGUUACUGAAAUGUCCCAGCCAGAUCAUCCCCAGGAGGGAUUAAUGGCCCACCAGGACAGCUGAGAGAACCUGGCCUUGCAUCUGGGAGUCUGCUUGCCAAACAUGAUUGGGUUCUUAGAGAUGAAAGACACAGAGUGAGCUAUUUUCCAUAAACACACUGGCACAUGUGUUAAUUACUGCAAGGAGAAAACCAGCCCCCAUGUUUCACGUGGGAGGCCUGUGAGGCAGAAUCCAGGAAUGGAAAGAACUCGGGUUUAGAAGCCAAACAUUGCUGGAUUUAGUUCUGUCCUCAGCCACUUACUGAGUGAACGGGGCAAGCUACUUGCUUACUGGAGCUUCAGUUUUCCCGUCUGUUAAAUGGAAAUAAUACUGGCUUCAGUGUGUUGUGAGAAUUCCCUAUAGUAAUGACUGUGAAACAGCUGAAACCCUGCAGGCAGGUGGUAAAUGAUAGCUCUCGUGUUGCCCUUUAUGGAUAAGGAUGCAAGAAGUUUAGGAUGGUUGGCCAAUGCCACACUGCUGGUCAGCAGCAGAGCUAGGUCCGUCUCCCUGCCAAAGGCAGGCAUUUUGCUCAGAGGCCACCAAACCCAUACCCUUGGUGGCCAACAUGGCAGCGGCCGGAUCGGAGUCUCCCCCCAGUACUUUGUAAGCCCAUUGAGGGUAAGACUAUGCAUCAGAUCUCUUGGCAUCCUUGGUAUCCUUGGCAGGUCUCUUGGUAUCCUUGGCAUCCUCUCUCACAGUGCCGUAAAUGUUCCUUAAAUGGAUGAAAGCAUUCAGGAGCACCUAGAAUAGAUUGAGCAGAUAACCGCAUAACAGGUGUCCACUGUGUGCAUAUAACUUCAGCCUCUUCUGCGUUGUUGGGACAUGAAGUCCCUUCGCUUUGCAUGGAAAAUAGUCUAGGCACCCCCUGGCUGACUUGCCACGAUGCCUGUCCUCAGGACAGGAAGAAGGAUGGGCCCAAGGAGGAGAAUUGCGUCAGAGGUCAAGAAAUGAACUCCAGCAGAAGUAGCACAAACAGGGAACCCAUAAGGAAGCUUGUGAUGAACAAACAUAGGGCAGAUGAAGUGGAAUAUUGGAUGGAAACACACCUUGAAAAUGCACAGACCUGUGGCAAGGGAAGGGAUCACUGCUUAGAUCAAUAGCAGGGCCUUGGACCAUGGUUAGGGGGAUGCUUGUUAGUGCUUCCCUGGGCUGCAGGGAGCCACGGAAAACAGGCCAGGGCAGGAGACCGGCCAGUGACUCACACGGCGGAACACAGGUUUAGAGGAGCAAAAUCUGAAGGGCCCCUCUCCUUCUCCCCACCUGUUUUCUGUCACGUGCUCUGGACCUGAGCCCACAGUGGGGCAGCUCCCUCGGCCUCCAGUGGAAGGCGGAAGCACUUGACAAAAAGCCUCCAGUUAACCGGGGCAAGCAGCAGGGUGGGGCUCAGGCCUUCUGGCCAAGUCCUUGUCUCCCUCGAGUCUCCAGCUUUCUCCUGAGAGGCAAAGCCCUCGCCAGGCAGGCUUUAAUAAGCAGUAGUGCCCUGCACCCCUGCCCAAGUCCCCGGACCCCAUGCUGGCAGGCUACUGCAGCCCCUAUCUUGCCUGGCACAUGGCACAUGGGGUGUCUUGGCAUGUGGGGUGGUGCUGUAUGCCUGUAGUCACAGACUGGCACUCACUGCAAGAGCUUCCAAUGUGUGAGAGCUGAGGCUAGAGUUCCUUGCUGCCUGUGAAGAUGGUGCUGUGACCGGAGCAGGCCUCAUAAUGAGCCGGUGAUUUCAUCCCCUCCAGACAGAAGACAAAGUCUGUGCCUUCUGGGCAAAACAUUAGCUGACCCGUGACACUGCUCAGACCCCAGAGGCCUGGCUCCCGGCCUGCCGGGAGCAGUCACUCCAAACAGCUGCGGCUGUGAGGCCUUCAGAGAGUGGCUAAUUAGGGUCUCACCUGGCCAGCUCCAAUCUGCAACCACAAGCUCGAGGCCCAGCUGCCUCUCCCCAGUGCCUCUGGGGCUCCGCUGCCUCCCUCACAGAUGGCGAGUGACUUCCUUGAUCUGUAUAAACAAGAAUUCUGCCUUAUUCAAACAGCAAUGAUAGAUUGGAGGAUCUACUAUGUACAACACACUGUGCUUGCAUCCAAUGGUAGAGUUAGAAAAAAAAAUGUGAUGUCCUGUGAUGUUAAGAAGUGAAGAACCCCAUGGGGAGGUAGCAGAAAACAUCCAACAGUGAGUGGCAACAGGUGUGCUGGUCACCGAGGGCUUCUUGGGCAAGGUCAUUCAUGAACUGGGUCUUGCAGCACAGAUGUGCUGGGAGUGGAAGAGGACACAGUUAGAUGCCACUUUAUCCUCACUAUAGUGGCACAAAUGGAGAAGGCUGAUGAUGCUGUGUGCUGGGGAAGAGGUGGGUGUGUAGGUUGUCUACCUGUUGGCCGUGGGAGUGUAAAUGAGUCACCCACUCAGGAAAAUAGCUGAACAACCCCCAGGGGUACAUUCCUGUACACCACCACCCAGCAAUUCCACUCGUAGGUAUACACUUCAGAAAACUCUUACACAAAAAUAUUCACAGCAGGACUGUUCAAACGCCCACCAACAGAAGAAUGGAUAAACAGGUGUGUUCACACCAUGGAGUAUCAGACAGCGUCCAAAGAGAGGAAUUACGGCCACCCUAGCAAUAUGGACAAUGCUUAUCAACUUACUACUAAGUGAGAAAAGUAAGUCCCAAAAGAGUACAAACAGCAUGACACCCUCUCAAAGAAGGCAAAGAGAUGUCAAAUAUAAUAUACACAUUUUAGGACUCCAAGGAAUAGGUAAGAUGAGAGGACAGGAUAGGAAAAUAGGCCAGGAGCUGUGGCUCAUGCCUGGAAUCCCAGCACUUAGGUAGGCCGAGGCAGUUAGAUCACUUGAGCCCAGGAGUUCAAGACCACCCUGGACAAUAUAGCGAAACCUCGUCUCUACAAAAAAUACAAAAAUUAGCCAGGUGUGCUGGCAUGUGCCUGAAGUCCCAGCUACUUAGGAGGCUGAAGCGAGAGGAUUGCUUGAGCCUGGAAGGUCAAGGCUGCAGUGAGCUGUGAUCGUGCCACUGCACUCCAGCCUGGGUAAUAGAGAAAGAUCCUGUCUCAAAAAAAAAAGGAAAACACAGAAAGGAGGCACACAGGAUUCGGGGUGACAGCUAUCUUGGGAUAGCUCCCUGCAGCCCAGGGAAGCACUAGGGAGGGAAUGGGAUGGGGUAGGCCACACAGCUGAUGUCAGCUCUUGCUAAGGCCCAGCUUUCAGGCUGGGUGGUGGUUUCACAGGUGACUAUUCUGUUACUUUAAAAUGUGAUCUAUUAGCACAGCUAGGGACGUAGGACUAUGCCUGUAAUAGCAAAAGUAAUAAAAUGCAUCAAAGCCCAGGA
rnacentral:lncRNA from 1 species